GGGGAUAUGGUUUAGUGGUAUAAUGCUUCCUUAGCAAUUCCAGCGUCUAGAAGGAGUUUGUGACAUUGGAAGAGGUCCCGAGUUCGAUUCUUGGUGUCUCCA
rfam:Magnaporthe oryzae 70-15 chromosome 6, whole genome shotgun sequence.